rnacentral:rRNA from 1 species
GAUGAACGCUGGCGGCGUGCCUAAUACAUGCAAGUCGAGCGAACGGACGAGAAGCUUGCUUCUCUGAUGUUAGCGGCGGACGGGUGAGUAACACGUGGAUAACCUACCUAUAAGACUGGGAUAACUUCGGGAAACCGGAGCUAAUACCGGAUGAUAUUUUGAACCGCAUGGUUCAAAAGUGAAAGACGGUCUUGCUGUCACUAAUAGAUGGAUCCGCGCUGCAUUAGCUAGUUGGUAAGGUAACGGCUUACCAAGGCAACGAUGCAUAGCCGACCUGAGAGGGUGAUCGGCCACACGGGAAGUGAGACACGGUCCAGACUCCUACGGUAGGCAGCAGUAGGGAAUCUUCCGCAAUGGGCGAAAGCCUGACGGAGCAACGCCGCGUGAGUGAUGAAGGUCUUCGGAUCGUAAAACUCUGUUAUUAGGGAAGAACAUAUGUGUAAGUAACUGUGCACAUCUUGACGGUACCUAAUCAGAAAGCCACGGCUAACUACGUG